CAUUGGAAGCUAUUCAAACAACAAAUUCUCUUCAAACUCCUCUAUCUUCUAAGAAGGAAAACCAAAUCUAAAAGCAGAUAUGUCUGGAACAAAAAAAUGUGCCAGCCAGAAGAUCAAAUGCCAAGAUCCUUGCCAAAAAACCCCAGUCUGCAAAGAUCCAUGCCAAGAUCCAUGUAAACCUCAGGGUCAUCGUGUUCGCCAACCAGAUCCAUGCAAUCCUUGCAAGCCUUGUGUUGUCCCCGUCUCCUGCUGUCCUGAUCCCUGUGAUCCUUGUCAGGGCAAAUGAAGUUUUUGUGAAUAAUGAAGACUUCCAGCUUGAGCCCAAAGUCUAAGAUACUAAUUUACAUCUCUGCAAAAUACUUACAACACAUCCGAUAUUAAAUCGAUUAAAUCCUGCAUCUUGCUACUAUUAAUUAACUCUGCUCAAUUAAACUUUAAAAUUCUUGCUUCAAA